AAAAGCUUAAGGCGAUGAAGGACAUGAAGGAUCUGCUGUUAACAUCUUGGUGCCAGACACUAUAAGACACCUUCAGAGGUCUUAAAUAAAUGUGACGUCAGAUUUAACCCCUUGUGCUCUACGACUUAAGUCAUGUAAAGCAAGUAGUAGCUAUAAUAUCCAAUUUUGUUACAAGCUUUUGCAAUGACACUACAUUCAUUUCUGUUCAGAGUUGCAGAAAAGUUUCCUCCAAGAUAUUGAACUUCUGAUGGGAGAUUUGGAUCACUGCGCAAAGUUAUCUCCAGCACAUUCCUGAGAUUCUCAAUGGGUUCAGGUUGUCCUGACAUGACUCCUCUGUCAUCUACACCACCACCAGCUCUGUGCCUUUGUUAUCUCUGAGGAUGUCUGCACGAGACUAGAUGCUGUGGAAGGAUGUAUUAAAGCCUCAUUUGGAAGAAUUAAAGAAAGCAUGUGAACAUGAAGACCUUAUCCCUGAGCUUAAGCCACAACUGGAGAGUCUUAUGUCUUGAUGGAGUUCCUCUCUUGAUGCCAAAAGAAGCACAAAAAGUUUGUCUGUAUUUUUUUUUUUCUUGUUGGCUGUGCCAUCUCCAUCCUGCUGCUUUCCCUGCCAGUGGAGGAACAUGCUUUUUCAGUGGGUGAAAGGGUGAUUUCUCCAUGCUGGCUCUGAGUGCAUCCUCCCCCUCGCAGGGCCUGAAGAGUUGGAUUGUUUUAGGAUGACUGCAUGUACUUUGUGGGGGAACAGGAAGUGUGGCUAAGACUUCCUCCCAUCUGCCUCGACUCAUCCUUCCAUCUCGAGCCACGUUUCACAGGAACCAAGCACUGACUCACCUACUCUACAAACAGAUAUAUCUCCAAAAAUCUAGUUCUGAUUAGGUCCAUAUUACUGUCAUAUUACUGCUUAUAAUUACCUUACUAACCCACUGAAGUUGAAAGUUGAGGACUACACUCAGCAACAAAUGUAAAACACCAGUAAGCAUCUGCUGAUAAAGUAUGUCAUGUGGUUUAAUUAACAUAAAAGCUUAUCAUAGAGCUGCAA